GGUUCCGGCUCAUCCUGGGCAAUGAAGCAAUGGCACAAAUAAGUUUGGAGAGCCACAUUCCAGAGUGAGGAUGGAGGAAGCAGAGAAUAAUAUCCCCUCGACUUCACGGCAGUCAGCCCCCUAAGCAGAGCUGCAGGUGUGGGACGGAAGGCGGAUCGAGCAGGGAUGAGAGGCUGAAGACUCGGGUCACCAAGAAAGCUGGAGGGAGCCGGCUGGGGAGAAGGUGCGGGAGACCUUUCCAGUCCGGGGCUGCUUUUCCUGCUGAGCACGGACCAUUCCUGGGUCUCACAGAUGACAGACUGAGGGUACCGAACCCCCUGCAAGCAUGCCGAGCACCGCUGGCCUCUUCUUGAGUGUGCCCACCCGUCCACCCUGUCUACACCCAACUCUCCACACAAUGCCGUAUCUGCUCUCCUUGUCUUUUUCAAAGCCUGCAGAACCAGGGCAUAGCUGUCCCACCAAACCUGGGCUGCUUCCUCAGCCCAGAAACGCCAACCUUCCUAUGAAUGCUAAACUCACCAGCAUGGAGACAGACAGUCUGAACCCCUGGACAUGAAGAAUGUUAGCUUUCCAAGGAUGAGGGAGAGCCCAGUUUGUCCCCGCCCCGCCCCCCACGAUUGGCGACUGAACCUAGGACCUCGCGUAUGCUACGUAAA